rnacentral:rRNA from 1 species
GACGAACGCUGGCGGCGUGCUUAACACAUGCAAGUCGAGCGGUGCGGCGAACGGGUGAGUAACGCGUGAGUAACUGCCCCCUUCCCUGGGAUAACAGUUGGCAACGGCUGCCAAUACCUGAUAGUGGGCGAUGACUGGCGUCCUAUCAGCUUGUUGGUGGGGUAGUGGCAUACCAAGGCGACGACGGGUAGCCGGCCUGGGAGGGGGACCGGCCACAUGGGGCUGAGAUACGGCCCAGACGCCUACGGGGGGCAGCGGGGGGGAGUAUUGCACAGUGGGGCAAACGCUAAUGCAGCAGCGCCGCGUGCGUGAUGACGGCCUUGGGGGUGUAAACCGCUUUCGGCCAUGACGCGGUAGUGGCAGAAGAAGCACCGGCUAACUACGUGCCAGCAGCCGCGGUAAUAC